UCUAUUUCAGCUACAGUGGAAUUUGGCAAUCGACCUAGAAAAUGAAGAGGAUGUGCACACUAAAGAAUCCAGAGUAGACUGGCCAUGCUGGGACCUGGAGGAGCUGAACAGGGAGCCAGCCUUUCUGCUCUCUGCUUCCUGGCCACCAUGACAUGGCAGCUUUCCUCCAUCACUGCCUUCCGCCAUGAUGCUUUUGCCUCCCCACGUGCCUGAAAGCAGUGGACUGUGGACUGAAGCCUCUGAAACUGUCGCUAUUCAUUUAGUAAACUUCUGUUCUGAACUGACUCCUGGUGAUGCUGCACGUCUCGGGGUGCAGCAUGGCAUUUCAAUGAGCAUGCACGAGGCGUCGUGCUCGGAUCUGAGUGAGCGGUGACCUCAUGGCCUCGGACAGACGUCGCGUGACCGAAACCCUGUCGCCCAGCUCUUCUCAAAUGCAGAACCAGUCUCGGGCAGCCUCUGUCCUCUUCAACUUGGCCACGUGCAUGUUCAAACCACUGCUCCCAUCGUGAAAAUCAUCCCAACCAGGACGUCGGGAAAAGGACAGGGAAGGGCAGUUCUUCGUCCUUACAGGAGCUCGGUGCCAAGGCCCUGCUUCGGCCACCAGGGUCCCCUGGCCAGCCCCCCCCCCCCCCAGCUUGCCUCUUCUCCAGGACCCGCUUUCCGAGCUUGGGGAGGCAUUCAUUCUCCAGAAUUGCCGAGGGGGACGUGAUGAAGCCUCGCUUGCUGCUGAGUGGACCUGGGUGGGAGAUGACCACGGUGGCUGCCAGCCCCUGACAUAAACCUGCCUGCGGCAGCGCUGGACCUUUGCUUCUCGGCAGUUUGUGGCGCGGCCCGGUGCGCUACCCAGAGUUCCCACUAGAUGUCGCUGUUGCCACGUUGGAAACCUUGUACACGGACGCGUGAACCCCCGCCCCACCGCGGUUUGAUUUCAGUGGAUUUGGAACAUAAAUGUGUCCGUUUUUAAGCCACAGGGCAGAGUUUUCUCUAUAAAUUCUUGGGAUCUUUAUUUCUAUCACUUUUGUUGUUUUCUUUGCCUUGAUUGGGCAUACGCAACUCUCCGUGCAUGGUAGGUGUGUAGCUCCGGUGCAGGAUUUGAAUGGGCUUGAAAAGGGCGGAAUUCCUGAGGAUUUGAGUUCUGUUUUAACUUAUUUGUUUUAUUUUAUUUAAAUUUAUUUAUUUACUUAUUUUCUUAAAAAUUAAGUAAAUGCCUUGAUUCCACCAGGAUUUUCAACAGGUCUUAUGCCUACUUCGCAGUGAUUUUGCCUAGGAAAAUCACUAAUCUCUAGCAAAAAAUUAGCGUUCUUUUUAAUUGUAGAUGUAGGCAACGAACCAUAGUGGUCAUGGUACUUGGGACUACGGCACCAAGAGAAAUUGCAGAUUUUCAUAUCACUUGAUUGCAGGCGACUUCAGAAUAUCAUUUAUAUAUUUAUCUCCACUUGAAAUUAAGGAUACAUUUAGAGUUAGAGCGUGUUUGUCAGUCGUUCAAAGGGGAUCUUAUGAACUGGUACUGAUUUGCUUUGAAAGCACUUUGGUAGCUGCAUCCUGUGGGAAUCAUUCCCAGUAUCAUCACACGUAAAUUAUUUUAUGCAUUUGAAAGAGUCCUCUCCUGAGGAGGGGCACGGGGUUCACCAGCUGACAGUGGCAGGUGAAUAACGGCUCCCAGAGACGCUGCAUCUUAAUCCCCACAGCUCGGAGCCGCCGAGGCUGCAGGCCAGUGAAGCCAACCCACCCAGACGCGAGCUUGGCCUGCGUGACCGGUGAGGCCGCUGCGAUUGCGAGCUUCUUUGCAAGUGGAAGAAGCAGGAGGGGGAGCUGCAGAUCAACAUGGAAGUGUGCUUUGGAUUGGGAAUGUCCCCCGAAGGCCAUGUGGUCCAGGUUUAGUUCCAGCUGAUGGAAUUUUGGGAAGCAAUUGAUUAUGAAGGUUCCAACUUCAUCAAGAGAUCAAUCCAUUAAAGAAUUCAUAGUUUGUGGGGCGCAUUAGGAGGUGGGGUCUAACCGGAUGAUACUGGUCAUGGUGGUGUGACUGGGGGACUGCAUCUGGCCUCUGACCUGUUCUUUCUGGCUCAUUCCCUCUCCUGCUUCUUGGCUGCUGUAAGGUGAACAACUUUCCUCCCUUACCCUCCUGCCAUGGUGUUUAUGCCUUAUCACUGGCCUAAACGCAGCGCACGGAAUCAUCGUGGACUGAGCCAACAUUCAUCAGGAAACCUUGCACCUUUUAGGGUUAUUUACAUCAGGUGUUUUGUCACAGCAGUGGCAAACUGACUAACCCAGUGUCAGAGAUGUGUGAUUUCUGGCUUGAGGAUGAAGAUCGUAAACCAAGGUAGUUUCUUGUGGAGCCUCCAGGAGGAAUCGCCCUCUGGGCACCUCAAUUUUCAUCCCACACAGCUCUCUUUCUGCCCUCCAGAAGUGAAGAUAACUGUAUUGUUUAAGCCACUAAAUUUGUGUAAUUUGUUAUAGCAGCAGUAGGAAGCCAGAUACACUGACUGAAGUGUCUACAGUGGCCCCAUUUGGGGACGUACUUAGGGGCUUACAAGGGUGCACUGUCUGCAGUGGAGGUGAAGUUGCUGGUGGAUUACAGAGUUGUCUAUGUGGCCUAGGACGUUACCCCAAUGUAUGGGCAAAGAGCUCUCAAUUCAUGCAGUUGCUGUGGGGCAGGGAUUUGAGAAUGCCUUUACUGGGUGGCUCUAGUUCUGAGUCUCUGAUGAGGCUGUAGUCAUGUCAGCGGGGGCUUGUCACCCGGAGUCUUCACUCACUGGAGACUGCUUCCAGGAGGGUGCGCUCACAGACAGGGCUGCAGGCAGGAGGCGGGGUCUUCACCACGCAGACCUUAGAGAGGCUCACCUGUCCUUACAGAUGGAAGCUGGCUUCCCUGUGAGGAGAGGGGGGAGAGAGGGAGGAAAAGAUGGAGGGAGAGAGAGAAGGAGAGAGAGAGAGAGAGAGAGAGAGAGAGAGAGAAAGAAAGAGA